UACAGAGGGUGCAAUCGUUAAUCGGAAUUACUGGGCGUAAAGCGUGCGUAGACGGUAGCGUAAGUCGGGUGUGAAAGCCCCGGGCUCAACCUGGGAAUUGCAUUCGAGACUGCUCUGCUAGGGUGCGGAAGAGGGAAGCGGAAUUUCCGGUGUAGCGGUGAAAUGCGUAGAUAUCGGAAGGAACACCAGUGGCGAAAGCGGCUUCCUGGUCCAGCACCGACGUUCAGGCACGAAAGCGUGGGGAGCAAACAGG
rnacentral:rRNA from 1 species